GCGAACGCUGGCGGCAUGCCUAACACAUGCACGUCGCACGGGGGGGCUUCGGCCUCCCAGUGGCGGACGGGUGAGGAACGCGUAGGGACCUGUCGAGGGGUGGGGGAUAACCGCGGGAAACUGCGGCUAAUACCGCAUGACGCCGCGGCGUGACAGCCGGGGCCAAAGGCGAAAGCCGCCCGCCGAGGGGCCUGCGUCCGAUUAGCUGGUUGGCGGGGUAGCGGCCCACCAAGGCGUCGAUCGGUAGCUGGUCUGAGAGGGUGAUCAGCCACACCGGGACUGAGACACGGCCCGGACUCCUACGGGAGGCAGCAGUGGGGAAUAUUGGACAAUGGGCGCAAGCCUGAUCCAGCAAUGCCGCGUGGGUGAAGAAGGUCUUCGGAUUGUAAAGCCCUUUCGGCGGGGACGAUGGUGACGGUACCCGCAGAAGAAGCCCCGGCUAACUUCGUG
rnacentral:rRNA from 1 species